GAUGAACGCUGGCGGCGUGUCUAGUACAUGCAAGUCGAGCGAACAGACGAGGAGCUUGCUCCUCUGACGUUAGCGGCGGACGGGUGAGUAACACGUGGAUAACCUACCUAUAAGACUGGGAUAACUUCGGGAAACCGGAGCUAAUACCGGAUAAUAUAUUGAACCGCAUGGUUCAAUAGUGAAAGACGGUUUUGCUGUCACUUAUAGAUGGAUCCGCGCCGCAUUAGCUAGUUGGUAAGGUAACGGCUUACCAAGGCGACGAUGCGUAGCCGACCUGAGAGGGUGAUCGGCCACACUGGAACUGAGACACGGUCCAGACUCCUACGGGAGGCAGCAGUAGGGAAUCUUCCGCAAUGGGCGAAAGCCUGACGGAGCAACGCCGCGUGAGUGAUGAAGGUCUUCGGAUCGUAAAACUCUGUUAUUAGGGAAGAACAAAUGUGUAAGUAACUAUGCACGUCUUGACGGUACCUAAUCAGAAAGCCACGGCUAACUACGUG
rnacentral:rRNA from 1 species